GAUUAAGUUAUUAAGGGCGCACGGUGGAUGCCUUGGCACUAGAAGCCGAUGAAGGACGUUACUAACGACGAUAUGCUUUGGGGAGCUGUAAGUAAGCUUUGAUCCAGAGAUUUCCGAAUGGGGAAACCCAGCAUGAGUUAUGUCAUGUUAUCGAUAUGUGAAUACAUAGCAUAUCAGAAGGCACACCCGGAGAACUGAAACAUCUUAGUAACCGGAGGAAGAGAAAGAAAAUUCGAUUCCCUUAGUAGCGGCGAGCGAAACGGGAAGAGCCCAAACCAACAAGCUUGC
rnacentral:rRNA from 1 species